UGCAACUCGACUCCAUGAAGCUGGAUUCGCUAGUAAUCGUGCAUCAGCCAUGGCGCGGUGAAUACGUUCCCGGGCCUUGUACACACCGCCCGUCAAGCCAUGGAAGCCGGGGGUGCCUGAAGUGCGUGACCGCAAGGAGCGCCCUAAGGUAAAACCGGUGACUGGGGCUAAGUCGUAACAAGGUAAC
rnacentral:rRNA from 1 species